UUCUCAAAUUAAAUAAGAAGACCUACUGAAUUUAAGCAUAUUAUUAAGUAGAGGAAAAGAAAGUAACAACGAUUUCAUUAGUAAUGGCGAAUGAAAAUGAAAAAGCGCAAAUUUAAAAUCAUUUUUUUUUUAAAAUGAAUUGUAGUUUUAUAAAUUUUAUUUUUUAUUCAUAUUUUUUAUCAUAAUUGUUGUCAAUUUAAUAUUUAAAAUUAAUUGGAAUAUUAUAUCAUAGAAGGUGAAAAUCCUGUAUAUAAAUAUAAUUGGCAUGAUAAAAAAAGAUUAAAUAAAAUUUUAGAGUCAAGUUAUUUGAAAGUAUAACUUAAAUAACGAGCUAAGUCUCUCGUAACGCUAAAUAUAAAUGGGAAACCGAUAGCGAACAAGUAGUGUGAACGAAAGAAGAAAAGAACUUUGAAAAGAGAGUGAAAUAGUAACUGAAAUUGUUAAAAGGGAAACGAUUAAUUUUAGUGAAAAAUUUUUAAAAUGGUUUUUUAAUCUGAAAGGAUUUGGAAUUUAAUUUUAAAAAUUUACUCAAAAUAAAUAAAAUAAAUAUAAUAAACAAUUUUUUAUUUAGAAUUAUUUUUUAAUAAUUAUAAUGAUUAUUUUAAAAUAAUUUAUAUAUUUAAUAGAGAUUAUAUUAAAUUUAUUUAAUAAUAUUAAAUUAAAUUUAAUUGAAAUUAAAAUUUUAAUAAUUUUAAUAUUUUUAUAUUUUCACUGAAAAUACUAAAAAAUUUUAAUUUUAUUUUUAAUUUUAAUUAUAUUCAAUUUUUUUUAAUAAAUUUUUUGAGAAAAUGAAAUUAAUUGACCCGUCUUGAAACACGGGCCAAGGAGUUCAAUAUAUAUGUAAAUAUAAAAAUAAAGUAAAAUUUUUAUUUAAAAAGAAAUUAAAUAUUUUUUUAUUGUACAUAAAUCAUUGUGUUCAAAUAAUUUAUUAUCUUUAAUUGAUAAUAAAAAGAAUAUAUAUAUUGAGACCCGAAAGAUGGUGAACUAUGGAUGAAUAGUGUAAAGUCAGGGGAAACUCUGAUGGAAGCUCGAAGGGAUUCUGACGUGCAAAUCGAUCCUCAAAUUUGUCUAUAGGGGCGAAAGACUAAUCGAACUAUCUAGUAGCUGGUUUCCUCCGAAGUUUCCCUCAGGAUAGCUGGAGAAAAAAUUGAUUUAAUUGGGUAAAGCGAAUGAUUAGAGGUACGGGGAAUGAAAUAUUCUUCACCUAUUCUCAAACUUUAAAUGGGUUAAAAAAAUCUAUAUAACUUUUUUGUAUAUGAUUUAAAAACAAUUAAAACUCUUAGUGGGCCAUUUUUGGUAAGCAAGACUGGCGAUGUGGGAUCAACCAAACGUUAAGAUAAAGUGCCUAAAUAUAUGCUCAUUAGAUAUCAUGAAAGGUGUUGAUUGAUAUAGACAGAAGGACGGUGGCCAUGGAAGUCGGAAUCCGCUAAGGAGUGUGUAAUAACUCACCUUCCGAAUCAAUUAGCCCUGAAAAUGGAUGGCGCUUAAGCAUAUUACUUAUACUUGACCAAUAUUUUAAACAAAAAGAAUAAAAUAUUGUGUAGGAGGAUAUAUAAAUAAUUAAGAACUUUUGUUUUUGUAAAAAUAAAGGGAAUUAUUUAUAGUACAGAUCUUGGCUGUAGUAGCAAAUAUUCAAGUGAGAACCUUGAAGACUGAAGUAGAGAAAGGUUCCGUGUGAACAGUAUUUGUACACGGGUUAGUCGUUCCUAAAUUUAAAAUUAAUAUUUUUUUAUAAUUUUUAUCUAUUUUUUGGAUGAAAUUAAAUGAAAGGGAAAUAAGUUAAAAUUCUUAUACCAAAAUAUGGAUAAUUUUAAAAUAAUCAUUUUUUGAUUUUUUUAAUUUUAAUAUGGUAACAUAAAAAAACUUUUUAACACUAGUGAAUAUUUUAGAAAGAGUUUUCUUUUCUUUUUAACAAAUCAAAUCUAUCUUUUUCCUAGAAAGAGAUAAAAAAUUAAAUGAAAUAAAAUUAUUUUGAGAAAUUUAAUUUUUUUUUGUAAAAGUAUAAUCUUUUAUUUGUUUUAUCAAAUUUAUUAUAUCUAAUUUAUAUUCAAUAGUCCUUGAAAUUGAAAAAGUUUUAUUCUCUAUGAUUUUCAUAUUUGUUCGUACUCAUAACCGCAUCAGGUCUCUAAGGUGAAAAGCCUCUAGUCAAAUAGAAUAAUGCAUGUAAGGGAAGUCGGCAAAUUAGAUCCGUAACUUUGGAAUAUGGAUUGGCUCUUUAUGUUUUGAUAAAAUUCUCUCUCUUUUGAGUUAAUUUUGGAUACAAACAAAUAAAGAACUGAUACGAUCAAGAGGAAUCCGACUGUUUAAUUAAAACAAAGCAUUGCGAUACUUUCAACUAGAUUUUUACGUAAUGUGAUUUCUGCCCAGUGCUCUGAAUGUUAAAGUGAAGAGAUUCAAGUAAGCGCGGGUAAACGGCGGGAGUAACUAUGACUCUCUUAAGGUAGCCAAAUGCCUCGUCAUUUAACUGCUGACGCGCAUGAAUGGAUUAACGAGAUUCCUACUGUCCCUACUUGCUAUCUAGCGAACCAACAGCUAAGGGAACGGGCUUAGCAUAGUCAGCGGGGAAAGAAGACCCUGUUGAGCUUGACUCUAGUCUGAUUUGUAAAAUAUCUUUAUAGGUGUAGCAUAGGUGGGACCAACUCUCUUUUGAAUUGGGAUCUUGAAAUACCACUACUAUAAAUGUUGUUUUACUUAUAUAUUUAUUUAAUUUUUUAUUCUUUUUUGAAUAUUUUAAUGUAAAAAACAAUUUUUCUUUAAUUGUUGAUUUAUGAUAUAGAAACUUUCAGGUGGGGAGUUUGGCUGGGGCGGCACAUCUGUUAAAUAAUAACACAGGUGUCCUAAGAUAAGCUCAAAGAGAACAGAAAUCUCUUGUAGAAGAAAAGGCUAAAAGCUUAUUUUAUUUUGAUUUUCAGUAUGAAUUUAAACUGUGAAAGCAUGGCCUAUCGAUCCUUUAUAUAAUAUCACUAAAACAACUCGUUUGUUUUGACUUGAGACUUUAGGAUAGAGGUGUCAGAAAAGUUACCACAGGGAUAACUGGCUUGUGGCUGCCAAGCGUUCAUAGCGACGUAGCUUUUUGAUUCUUCGAUGUCGGCUCUUCCUAUACUUAAGAAGCAGAAUUCCUAAAGGUUCGGAUUGUUCACCCGUUAAAAGGGAACGUGAGCUGGGUUUAGACCGUCGUGAGACAGGUUAGUUUUACCCUACUGACAAAUAAUAAAGAAAAAGUUAUGAUAAUGGUAAUUCAACUUAGUACGAGAGGAACCGUUGAUUCUGAUAUUUGGUUUAUACAGUUAAUUGAAAAAUUAGUGCUGUGAUGCUACAAUCAGUAAGAUAAAGGCUGAACGCCUCUAAGUCUGAAUCUAUGCCAAUUUAUUUCAUAAUUAUUUUUAUUUUUUUAAAUAAAAAUUUUUAAUUUGUUUAUUUUUUUAUUCUUUUAAAAAUAUUUAUUUCUCUUUAUGAGUGAUAAAUAAUAAAAUUUGAAAAAAGUUAAUGUUAAAUUGAAAUAUUUUUCAUUUUUAUCUUUUUUCCAUUUUAAUCUUUUCCCAAAAUAUCAAAUUAAACAAAUCUUAACUAGACGAGUUAAAUUAAUUUAAAUAUUGUAAGUGGUUGAGUAAUAAUUAUUUUCUUUUAUUGAAAAUAA
rnacentral:rRNA from 1 species